ensembl:lincRNA
GGCGGCAAUUUUUCAACCCUGAAAGUGGAUUUGGCCAUGGCUAUUUAGCCAGAUAAUAAUAACAAUUGAAUGCAUGGAACAUUUUACAAGUUCAGAGACAUAGGAUAUCCUCAAUGUUGACAGAGUCAGAUUUGAGACUCACAACUGAAUAAGGUGGUAAGUAUUGUUUGUGUGGAAACUUUGACAUGAUAACAAAAAAAAGGGACAGGUUUUCUCGACUGGUUCAGAUGGCCCCUAAAGCAAGGUCAAAGGUCAAGUUCUGGACCAGUUUUGAGCAACAGUAGUCUCACUGGACUGCUAACAUGAUGGUUGGGUGGAACAGAUGUGGAUGCAUUCAUUCCUCUGUGCUAGUUAUUAACAAUCAUAGCCAGCUCUGCUAGAGGCGUUCAACAGUCACUCAAAGUGCCUAUAAAGUGCUUGUUGUUGCUGUUCCGUCGCUAAGUCCUCUCUGAUUCUUUAGUGACCCCGUGGACUAUCGCCUGCUAGGCUCCUCUGUCCAUGGGAUUUCUCCAGGCAAGAAUACUGGAGAGGGGUUGUCAUUCUCUUCUCCAGGGGAUCUUCCCAACCCAGGAACUGAACCCAGGUCUCCCGCGUUCUUUACUGUCUGAGCCACCAGCCAUCACAACAGUGUUAAUUGGCUAUACUCCAAUAUAAAAUAUAAGGUUUAAUAAAAAACCAGCAGGGGCGGGGGGAAAGAAACAAGGACACAAACCACAGAAGCUACUCAGGUCAAAAAAGACACGUGCACUGUGGCGACCUGUCCAGCCAUCAGUUUGUAACGUCUGAUGACAUGACAUUUGAAGUCUCUUCUAGCUCUGGAAUUUGGCAGGUGAGUGGAGGUGGCUUGUUUCUGCUGUGAAGUGACACGUACAAUAAGAAUAAAGCUGGGUGCCUUCGGUCUGAGGCAACACCGGUGAAGCCUGGACCUGAUCACAGGAGACACGCGUUCUCCAGCUGAUGGCUUUUUGUCUGACCUUGGCUGAGAGCCUGGAGUCUCCCUCCUCCCUUCACGGACAACACGGCUGCCCUCCCUCCUCCCUUCUUGGACAACACGGCUGCCCUCCCUCCUCCCUUCUUGGACAACACGGCUGCCCUCCCUCCUCCCUUCACGGACAACAUGGCUGCCCUCCCUCCUGCUCCCCGUCCAGCUGGAGGCUACCACGUCAGCUGAUGACCUUUGUCAUCCCCACUCCCCCCACCACCAGUGCCUCCAGGCGCCAAAGCAGCACUCACCCAAAGCAAAUCCCAAGCUGGGCCUGGACUCGGAGUGCAGGGGAAGCGAACUGUGAAGCCCAAGGACUUCACCAUGCACAGCAGAAUUCUCUACUUUCAGCCUCUGUGGUCUUGGAGGAGCCACUGGACAGCCCAGGGUUUCUCUGGAAGAGUCGGCAGACUUUACCCGGAUGCUGCUCUAUUAAAAUGUCUGUCUUCUCAGGCAUAACUUAAAAGUCACCCCAUGCCUACGUUAAUGCUGGUUGGCUCUCUGUUAAUUGUACUUAUUGAUGUGUGGCCUCUCUUGGUCAAGUCGGGGACCGCAGAGGAGCUGAAGUUAUAAAAGCAGAAGACAGGGGAGUGUUAACAUUGAACUUUAACAUGUAAAAAUGUGCACUAUUGCAAAAUAGACCCCGCAAACAGAGAAAACAAACUUACAAUUACCAAAGGGGAACGGGAGCAAAGGAGAGAUAAACGAGAAGCUUGGAAUUAACAGAUAUACAAUGAAAAACUACUGUAUU